CAUUUCUGCAUGGCAAAAUAAAGACUGUCCUAUAUGAAUUAUUCAUUGUUAUCCUUUAUGUGUUUUCACAGAAGUCAAGGACUUUUUACCUGAAUCUUUGAAGAACUUAUUUGAUUUAAUAAAUGGAACUCUGAGAUUUUCAGGGAAACUCAGCUCCCUUCAAAGCUCAGCUUAAGUUGGGUGAAAGAAGGACAUCAAAGAUGUGUGAGCAGCCCUGAAAACAGCUUGGCACGCCCUCCUACCAGAGAUGCUAUUCCUCCCUGAAUACCCCGUAAAUGAUAAUAAUGGAAAGGAUCACGCUGUCUACAUCCAGGUAUUGCCAUUACCAGUUGGCACCAGCUCUGCCCUGAGUCCAUUUUGA
rnacentral:lncRNA from 1 species